AGUGAACGCUGGCGGUAGGCCUAACACAUGCAAGUCGAACGGCAGCACAGUAAGAGCUUGCUCUUACGGGUGGCGAGUGGCGGACGGGUGAGGAAUACAUCGGAAUCUACUUUUUCGUGGGGGAUAACGUAGGGAAACUUACGCUAAUACCGCAUACGGCCUACGGGUGAAAGCAGGGGAUCUUCGGACCUUGCGCGAUUGAAUGAGCCGAUGUCGGAUUAGCUAGUUGGCGGGGUAAAGGCCCACCAAGGCGACGAUCCGUAGCUGGUCUGAGAGGAUGAUCAGCCACACUGGAACUGAGACACGGUCCAGACUCCUACGGGAGGCAGCAGUGGGGAAUAUUGGACAAUGGGCGCAAGCCUGAUCCAGCCAUACCGCGUGGGUGAAGAAGGUCUUCGGGUUGUAAAGCCCUUUUGUUGGGAAAGAAAAGCAGCAGGUUAAUACCCCGCUGUUCUGACGGUACCCAAAGAAUAAGCACCGGCUAACUUCGUG
rnacentral:rRNA from 1 species